rnacentral:rRNA from 1 species
GAUGAACGCUGGCGGCGUGCCUAAUACAUGCAAGUCGAGCGAAUGGAUUGAGAGCUUGCUCUUAUGAAGUUAGCGGCGGACGGGUGAGUAACACGUGGGUAACCUGCCCAUAAGACUGGGAUAACUCCGGGAAACCGGGGCUAAUACCGGAUAACAUUUUGAACCGCAUGGUUCGAAAUUGAAAGGCAGCUUCGGCUGUCACUUAUGGAUGGACCCGCGCCGCAUUAGCUAGUUGGUGAGGUAACGGCCCACCAAGGCAACGAUGCGUAGCCGGGCUGAGAGGGUGACCGGCCACACUGGGACUAAGACACGGCCCAGACUCCUACGGGAGGCAGCAGUAGGGAAUCUUCCGCAAUGGGCGAAAGUCUGACGGAGCAACGCCGCGUGAGUGAUGAAGGCUUUCGGGUCGUAAAACUCUGUUGUUAGGGAAGAACAAGUGCUAGUUGAAUAAGCUGGCACCUUGACGGUACCUAACCAGAAAGCCACGGCUAACUACGUGCCAGCCGCCGCGGUAA